AGUGAACGCUGGCGGUAGGCCUAACACAUGCAAGUCGAACGGCAGCACAGUAAGAGCUUGCUCUUACGGGUGGCGAGUGGCGGACGGGUGAGGAAUACAUCGGAAUCUACUUUUUCGUGGGGGAUAACGUAGGGAAACUUACGCUAAUACCGCAUACGACCUACGGGUGAAAGCAGGGGAUCUUCGGACCUUGCGCGAUUGAAUGAGCCGAUGUCGGAUUAGCUAGUUGGCGGGGUAAAGGCCCACCAAGGCGACGAUCCGUAGCUGGUCUGAGAGGAUGAUCAGCCACACUGGAACUGAGACACGGUCCAGACUACUAAGGGAGGCAGCAGUGGGGAAUAUUGGACAAUGGGCGCAAGCCUGAUCCAGCCAUACCGCGUGGGUGAAGAAGGCCUUCGGGUUGUAAAGCCCUUUUGUUGGGAAAGAAAAGCAGCAGGUUAAUACCCAGCUGUUCUGACGGUACCCAAAGAAUAAGCACCGGCUAACUUCGUG
rnacentral:rRNA from 1 species